rnacentral:rRNA from 1 species
UACAAGCAGUGGGAGCCUUCUUUAUGGGGGUGACUGCGUACCUUUUGUAUAAUGGGUCAGCGACUUACAUUCAGUGGCAAGCUUAACCGAGUAGGGAAGGCGUAGCGAAAGCGAGUCCGAAUAGGGCGUCUAGUCGCUGGGUGUAGACCCGAAACCAGAUGAUCUAUCCAUGGCCAGGUUGAAGCGACGGUAAGACGUCGUGGAGGACCGAACCCACUUAGGUUGAAAACUGAGGGGAUGAGCUGUGGGUAGGGGUGAAAGGCCAAUCAAACUCCGUGAUAGCUGGUUCUCCCCGAAAUGCAUUUAGGUGCAGCGUC